GUUUUGUUCGUCUCGUCGCGAAUAAUACAAUGGCGCAGACGGAAUAAAAAUUGGAUAAACCGUUUGGAAGUUAUAGCAAUUUAAAAUAAAUGAUUUGCAUUUUUUAGAUGACAUCAGUGGGACGUCAGCAGAGUGGAAGGCGCUGUCUGGAUCGUUCGCUGGAUUAGUUUCUAAUGAACGUUCACUAGAAUAGAACUAGGGAUUUUCAGGGGCAGGUAUUUAGCCGUAUCUAGAAAUCGAUCUGUCAACCCUCUCUGUAAAUUGUUUUUUAAAACUUGCAAUCAAGUCAAAGAAGUGUUCUACCGUGAGAGAAGAUUGACUUGUGACUUAUAAUCGUGGGAGAUCAAAUUCUUCACCUCAUCCAUCGUGUGUCAUCACGUCCUCACCAGUGCGCCUCAAAGUCAUUAUGAGUUAUGACUAAGUGGCUAUACAUUUUAUUUGUAUUAAUUUUAGUGAAUAUUUUAAUGCAUUUAAGACCCUAAAUAAAUUCAGAGAUUAUUUGAAUAGUAAAGUUUUAGAUCUAUUCGAGUACUGCAACUUUGGUUUAGGUUAUUUCUCCAUUCGAGAUUAUUUGAAAGAUUCAACAAAAUAAAUAUCAAAAUUAUUAAACUCAAAAUAGAAUCU
rnacentral:lncRNA from 1 species